rnacentral:misc_RNA from 1 species
AAGUCGUAACAAGGUUUCCGUAGGUGAACCUGCGGAAGGAUCAUUACAGAGUUGUCGACACGAGUUGUUGCUGGUCCUCAAAUGGGGGCAUGUGCACGCUCUGUUCACACAUCCACUCACACCUGUGCACCCUCUGUAGUUCUAUGGUCUGGGGGACGCACCGUCUUCCUCCCGUGGUUCUAUGUCUUUACACAUACACCGUAGCGAAGUCUUAUGGAAUGUACUCUGCGUUUAACGCGAUAUAAUACAACUUUCAGCAACGGAUCUCUUGGCUCUC